CCCUUAGAUGUUCUGGGCCGCACGCGUGCUACACUGAUGCAUUCAACGAGUCUAAAACCUGGUCUGAUAGGGCUGGGUAAUCUUUUGAAAGUGCAUCGUGAUUGGGAUAGAUGAUUGCAAUUCUUCAUCUUCAACGAGGAAUGCCUAGUAAACGCAAGUCAUCAGCUUGCAUUGAUUACGUCCCUGCCCUUUGUACACACCGCCCGUCGCUCCUACCGAUUGGAUGAUCCGGUGAGCUAUUCGGACUUUCGCAUUGUCGAUUUUCGGCUUUACGAGGGAAAGUCUCGCGAACCUUAUCAUCUAGAGGAAGGAGAAGUCGUAACA
rnacentral:rRNA from 1 species